ACUUAAAUUCAAUAUAUGAAUGUGUGAAUUAAUAUAUAGGAUUACUAAAUGGAAUUUAUGAACAUAUAUUAAGCAUAGAUAAGAAAAUUUAAGCAAUUAAUUUUAAUAAAAGGCAACAAUUUAUCUACUAUAAUAAGGUUUGAUUUCACUACAGCAUUUUAAAUUGUUGUCAUGUCAGUGAUUUGCAGUUAAGGAACGGCGAGAUAAUGAUGUGCAAAGUUUAUGAUUAUUUAAUGUGCAUAAUUUAAUCGUCACUUUUCUAAAAAAUUGAACGGUAUACAUGUACAUGCAGAAUAAAAAAGUUUAGAAGUAUGAACAAUAUGCAUUUAUUAUUGAAGAAAGAAACAAAUUAUAAACUUACAUCUACUGUGUUCAUUUGUUUUACUUUUUAUCAAAAAGAAAUUAAGACAUUUGCUUAUUUGGAAUAUUGAUCUUCCUACAAAUGAUCAUACAUAAAUUAGGAAUAUUCCUGCAAAUAAAAUUAUCAUUUUGUUGGCAGAAAUAUCAUCAUCAUGCUCUGCAUAGUCAAGCAAAGUUUAUAUAUGGGACAGAACCAGUACUAUAUGAGACUUUUUAUUAUUGUUAAAUUUUCUUCCAUAACAUCUAAGUUGUCAUCUUUGCCAUUUCUUCAUAACUCUCUGUGCAAUUUUGUUGUCAGGUGUGAGAAUCUGUAUUACACCAUUGUGAGAGAAUUUAUCUUUCUCAUUUUCUUUUUUUUUUCUGUUUGUUAAAAUGAUGAAGAAAAGUAGAAAAAAGAAAAAAGUUUUGUAUAAUGAGCUGAGAACAUCAAAACAAAAGUCUAAUUUCUCACCUUCUGUUAAUAAAUACUACUAUUAUUUCAACUGCAAUGUAAGCAUUAGAUAAAUUAAUAAGACAAAGUGAGUACUCCAGUAAUGAGAGUCAAGUUGCUGUUAAAUGGCAAUAAGAGUAAAUAAAACUCAGAUCUGGCUAAUAAUAUGUUUUCAAGAAAAGAAAGAUGAAUUAUGAGAUGAAAAGUAUUAUUGAACUGAAAUUUAAGGAGUUUUAAAAACAACUUUUUGAAGUUUGGCUAUGAGAAGGAAGGAAAAUGAAUUUCAGCAUAAGAAAGAAGGUGAACAGAUGUGAUUGUUAGUUGGAGAACUGCAAAACAGAAAAAAAGAAAUAAUAAGGAAUCUUUGGGUUUGUUUCAUCAAUUAUCCCUAACUAAACACAUCUGCAAGAGUAGCAUAGUUAUAAAGACAGUGACCAGAAAAUAAGAAGACAUCCACUGUGCUGACUGACUUCACAAGUCAUUUUCUUUUUAUUGUACUCAGUCUCAACUGCAUAAAAAUGUAACAAAUAAUCGCAAAGAAAUUUCUCCUAUUAUAUAUUGGUAACAAAUAAAUACUGGUUUUAAAUUUUAAACUGUUAAGUCUCAAUCACUGGGUAUGUAUUCUCCAAUGUUCUCCCAUUCUUACCUGCAGAAUUGACAUGUGUAGCCUACUGGUUCUAUCUGGCAGACAACUAGAGGGGACAAUAACAUGUCUGCUAUCAGUACAGGCAACUCCAAAGUCUCAUGACUUUGAUUCAAAUCCUGGAAGCAUCAGAUUGACUGUAAGGAUUCCAUUUUGACCAUCUGUAACAAGUGGGAUCUUAAUAGAUUCCUCAUGGGAUCUCCACAGAAGGGUAAUAUUUCAUAAUUGAAUGGAUUUUUUUUUUCUUAAUCCGUUUAAUAACGUUGAAACAUUCAGUCUGACUUAAAU
rnacentral:lncRNA from 1 species